UUCAUCAUAACGAAUAUCUGAGAAUAGUACCGUUUAAGUUAGCUGAAGCAGAAAGAUCGGUAUUUCGUGUACAUAUACGCACGCACACAUAUCGAAAGUAAUUUUUAUAUAGGACCACUAGAUGGUACUAAUGCAGAAAACAUAUUUCAAGGUCUCGAAAAAUUUAACGUAAUCUCUCGUAUCGCAUCAUUGUUGGUGCAUAUUUGUAAUGGGUCAUGAAAAAUUGGGAAUAAAUAAAUUAGUGUUUUAUAGCUUGGCAAAAAAGUGUAGAAAUGGAACUAAUCCUUUAUUUUACCUGGCAACAUUAUCACAUUUUUGACGUUUGUGAAGUUUUAUAAAUAGUGUCGGUGUUGUCUUUUUUAUUAAAAUUUUGCAAUAAGAACAAGAAGAUACUAUUCGCGAUACAAAAUGAAUAAGCCGCGAAUAAUAAGGUUCGCGAGAGAAAUUAUAUAUAAAACUUUUACCGACCAUGUCUAGCUGAACAAGAAGCAAAAACAAUUCUAUCGGAUCUGGAAGCAUAUGUGAGUGCGUUUCAAGACAUAACCGAAGAUGAUUGGAAAAUCUCAUGUCAACAUGUAAGAAAAAUUUAAAAUGACUAUUACAAGAGAGAACAUACCCUGUAAGAGGACAUUGAAAGAAUUAUAAUAAAUCUUAAAGAUGACAGUAGUAGUUCUUCAGAAUCAUAGGAUGACUGUCCAGCCAGCUCCAGUCAUGAAAAUAUGGACAUUGAUUUUACUGAAAUACAAUAUUUGGAAGAAA
rnacentral:lncRNA from 1 species